GACGAACGCUGGCGGCGUGCUUAACACAUGCAAGUCGAGCGGUAAGGCCCUUUCGGGGGUACACGAGCGGCGAACGGGUGAGUAACACGUGGGUGACCUGCCCUCAGCUCUGGGAUAAGCCCGGGAAACUGGGUCUAAUACCGGAUAUGACUUCAUGACGCAUGUUGUGGAGUGGAAAGCCUUGUGCGGCUGAGGAUGGGCCCGCGGCCUAUCAGCUUGUUGGUGGGGUGANGGCCUACCAAGGCGACGACGGGUAGCCGGCCUGAGAGGGCGACCGGGCCACACUGGGACUGAGAUACGGCCCAGACUCCUACGGGAGGCAGCAGUGGGGAAUCUUGCGCAAUGGGCGAAAGCCUGACGCAGCGACGCCGCGUGAGGGAU
rnacentral:rRNA from 1 species